rnacentral:rRNA from 1 species
AUGCCCAUGGACUUCACCAAGCACUUCGUCGUGGUGCCGACGGAGUUCAAGCUCAGGAACAACACCGGCUGCUCCUGGAAGGUGGCGGUCAAGCUGAUGAACGGCAGGGUGACCCUGGAUCAGGGUUGGGCCACCUACGCAGCCGUUCAUCAGAUCAAGAUCGGCUACAUGGUGACGUUCAAGCUCCUCACUCCCGACACCCUCAAGGUCAUCAUCUUCGACAACGAUGGCAUUGAGGUCGUCAACAACUGCGGGAAGCACGACGAAGCCUUCGCCGCCAAGGAGUAG